UAUCACUUUGGUAAAGCAAUGUUAAAAUAUUAAAAGUUAAAACUUACGACGAUUAUAUAUGAACGACGCUAACAGUAAUAUAUUGGUAUCACUUCUUUGUAUUUGAUGCUAAUUAGAAAAGGUUUGCAUCAGUUAUUUGGUAACUGAUGCUAGUAAAGGUUUUAAAUCAUAAAAGGAAAAUAUGAAACUCACUGCCUAAUUUUUUGGCUCCCUACUAUGAUAGAUUUGCAAAUUAAUUUUUUUUUCCUAAAGUCCUUAAUGAACAAAAAAAAAAAAGAAAAAAAAAAUCCUUAUGAACCCUAACUGUGUGUCGUUUCCAAAUCCUCUUGCAUAUUGGGGAUCUCUCUGUUUAAUCGAGGUCGUUCCAUCUCCAAUUCGUUUGUUUAAUCUCUACGGCACAACAUAUUUUUUUGUUAUCCGUCGCUCCUUGUUCUCUGUUACCGUCUCCGGCACAGCUGAGCUCGUCUACGAUUCGUAUAUCACUCCGCUUCUCAAUUUCCCAUGAUAAACUUCUGGAAAUUGAUUCAUUGGGAUACACACUUACUGGUUUUCCUGAUUUUGUGCUUUUACAGUUUAUUGAAAAAGCUAAGAAAUUGAGAGAGCAAAAUAAGAGAAGUAGGAGCCAGUACAAGACACCACACACUUUAGGGAACAAGAGCUUUGCUUGACAGUCUAAGGAAAUUGUAAGUUUCUCUUUACUUGGACUAUCUACAAUGGUUUACUUAUUCAACACCCUCAUUUUCACUCCACAUCAUCUUCUCCUUUUUCCACCUAAUCAUUCAACACCCAUUUCAAUUUUAACCUUUACAAUAGUUUUGUUUAAUAAAAUUCAAUACUCUACCCCACCUUUUAUUUUUUUUCUGUGUCUAAAUCAUAUGACACAAGUCUCUAUUUGUAGAGUAUAAAAAGUUAUGAAUUUUGGUAUAAAAAAUAAAUUAAAAAAAUAAUAUACUAUGAAAUAAUUGAUGUCAAAUAAAUCGGGUGGAAAAUUUUAUCAAGAAUCUCAGUAAUCAAUAGUAAUGCAACACGUGUCUUUAUCUUAAAUUAAUUUUCCAAUAAUAUUUGUGCCCCAUAAUAAUCUGACAUGUGGCAAAGUGAGACCCAUUGUUCGGCGAUUCAACAUGUUGUCAUUAUUCAACAUGUUAAAAGCCAUGUCAUUAUUUACAAUUUUUCAACACCUUCAUUGCAUAUUCUCAACUAUUGAAACAGAAAAUUAAACACCCUCAUUGUAAGACUAUGUACAAUGGUUAAAAUGUUACAACACCGAUUUUUCACUUUUUAACACUCCAUAUCAUCUUCGCUCUCUUCCACAUCAUAAUUCAACACCCCAUUAAUUUUUAGUUUCUACAAUGGUUUUGUUUAAUAAAAUUACAACAAU